rnacentral:rRNA from 1 species
AUUGAACGCUGGCGGCAGGCCUAACACAUGCAAGUCGAACGGUAACAGGAAGCAGCUUGCUGCUUUGCUGACGAGUGGCGGACGGGUGAGUAAUGUCUGGGAAACUGCCUGAUGGAGGGGGAUAACUACUGGAAACGGUAGCUAAUACCGCAUAACGUCGCAAGACCAAAGAGGGGGACCUUCGGGCCUCUUGCCAUCGGAUGUGCCCAGAUGGGAUUAGCUUGUUGGUGGGGUAACGGCUCACCAAGGCGACGAUCCCUAGCUGGUCUGAGAGGAUGACCAGCCACACUGGAACUGAGACACGGUCCAGACUCCUACGGGAGGCAGCAGUGGGGAAUAUUGCACAAUGGGCGCAAGCCUGAUGCAGCCAUGCCGCGUGUAUGAAGAAGGCCUUCGGGUUGUAAAGUACUUUCAGCGGGGAGGAAGGGAGUAAAGUUAAUACCUUUGCUCAUUGACGUUACCCGCAGAAGAAGCACCGGCUAACUCCGUGCCAGCAGCCGCGGUAAUACGGAGGGUGCAAGCGUUAAUCGGAAUUACUGGGCGUAAAGCGCACGCAGGCGGUUUGUUAAGUCAGAUGUGAAAUCCCCGGGCUCAACCUGGGAACUGCAUCUGAUACUGGCAAGCUUGAGUCUCGUAGAGGGGGGUAGAAUUCCAGGUGUAGCGGUGAAAUGCGUAGAGAUCUGGAGGAAUACCGGUGGCGAAGGCGGCCCC